rnacentral:rRNA from 1 species
GACGAACGCUGGCGGCGUGCUUAACACAUGCAAGUCGAACGGAAAGGCCCUGCUUUUGUGGGGUGCUCGAGUGGCGAACGGGUGAGUAACACGUGAGUAACCUGCCCUUGACUUUGGGAUAACUUCAGGAAACUGGGGCUAAUACCGGAUAGGAGCUCCUGCUGCAUGGUGGGGGUUGGAAAGUUUCGGCGGUUGGGGAUGGACUCGCGGCUUAUCAGCUUGUUGGUGGGGUAGUGGCUUACCAAGGCUUUGACGGGUAGCCGGCCUGAGAGGGUGACCGGCCACAUUGGGACUGAGAUACGGCCCAGACUCCUACGGGAGGCAGCAGUGGGGAAUAUUGCACAAUGGGCGGAAGCCUGAUGCAGAAACGCCGCGUGCGGGAUGACGGCCGUCGGGUUGUAAACCGCUUUCGCCUGUGACGAAGCGUGAGUGACGGUAAUGGGUAAAGAAGCACCGGCUAACUACGUG